GAUGAACGCUGGCGGCGUGCCUAAUACAUGCAAGUCGAGCGAACAGAUGAGGAGCUUGCUCCUCUGACGUUAGCGGCGGACGGGUGAGUAACACGUGGAUAACCUACCUAUAAGACUGGGAUAACUUCGGGAAACCGGAGCUAAUACCGGAUAAUAUAUUGAACCGCAUGGUUCAAUAGUGAAAGACGGUUUUGCUGUCACUUAUAGAUGGAUCCGCGCCGCAUUAGCUAGUUGGUAAGGUAACGGCUUACCAAGGCAACGAUGCGUAGCCGACCUGAGAGGGUGAUAGGCCACACUGGAACUGAGACACGGUCCAGACUCCUACGGGAGGCAGCAGUAGGGAAUCUUCCGCAACGGGCGAAAGCCUGACGGAGCAACGCCGCGUGAGUGAUGAAGGUCUUCGGAUCGUAAAACUCUGUUAUUAGGGAAGAACAAAUGUGUAAGUAACUAUGCACGUCUUGACGGUAACUAAUCAGAAAGCCACGGCUAACUACGUG
rnacentral:rRNA from 1 species